GACGUAGGGGGCGAGCGUUGUCCGGAUUUAUUGGGCGUAAAGCGCGCGUAGGCGGCCCGUUUAGUCGGGUGUGAAAAUCCGGGGCUCAACCCCGGACUUGCAUCCGAUACUGGCGGGCUGGAGGCAGACAGGGGAGAGCGGAAUUCCUGGUGUAGCGGUGAAAUGCGCAGAUAUCAGGAGGAACACCGGUGGCGAAGGCGGCUCUCUGGGUCUGUCCUGACGCUCAGGCGCGAAAGCUAGGGGAGCAAACAGG
rnacentral:rRNA from 1 species